rnacentral:rRNA from 1 species
AUCCUGAAUUCGAAAUGGCGGGCCUUAUGUUCCAGGGAAUCAAUCUAGGUCAGAGCCGGGUUGAGCCGUCCUCGUCCGAGGGUGCGGUUACCCGCCGGCGUGCGUAAUGCCGUCCGGUGUGCGGUUCCUGCGCCCUCCCGGACCGAGGCGAGCCUUUAAUUCGCCGAGUAUCUGGCUGGUGCAUUUCCCCCCUAAGUAGAAGCGUCGCGACCCGUUGGGCGCCGAAGCCCCAAGACUUGGGAAGGCAGACCGGUGCGGCCUUUGUUCAUACUCAACGUAAGAACGGGCCCCCGGAACUCCCUAGCUCCGGCCGGCGCCCUGACGGUAGUCAGGAAGGGGUCGAUCCGCUACUCUGGUCACUGGGUGUGUGAAGAGCGUCCAAGCCCCCGAUGAGGCAAGGCAGCUGUAGAGCUCGUCUUGUCGAAGGCAGUUCUUGGACGGGAUCGGUGCUCCGUCAGCGACGUCACUCAUCGGAGGGUCUCCCG